UGUCGGGUAAGUUCCGACCCGCACGAAAGGCGUAACGAUCUGGGCACUGUCUCAACGAGAGACUCGGUGAAAUUAUAGUACCUGUGAAGAUGCAGGUUACCCGCGACAGGACGGAAAGACCCCGUGGAGCUUUACUGUAGCCUGAUAUUGAAUUUUGGUACAACUUGUACAGGAUAGGUAGGAGCCAGAGAUCUCGGAGCGCCAGCUUCGAAGGAGGCGUCGGUGGGAUACUACCCUGGUUGUAUUGAACUUCUAACCCAUGCCCCUUAGCGGGGUAGGAGACAGUGUCAGGCGGACAGUUUGACUGGGGCGGUCGCCUCCUAAAGAGUAACGGAGGCGCCCAAAGGUUCCCUCAGAAUGGUUGGAAAUCAUUCGUAGAGUGUAAAGGCAUAAGGGAGCUUGACUGCGAGACCUACAAGUCGAGCAGGGUCGAAAGACGGGCUUAGUGAUCCGGUGGUUCCGCAUGGAAGGGCCAUCGCUCAACGGAUAAAAGCUACCCCGGGGAUAACAGGCUUAUCUCCCCCAAGAGUCCACAUCGACGGGGAGGUUUGGCACCUCGAUGUCGGCUCAUCGCAUC
rnacentral:rRNA from 1 species